CGCUCCUUGCUUGUAUUGUAUAGGGAGUCGUUCCUGCUCUAUGAUGUACGCAUUCAAUAGCAGCGGUAUAAGUGACCGUUCAAAGGUAGUGUAAUUAAAGCUGAUUAAUUGUUGGCCAAUGAAAGGAUUGAUGAACUAAAUUUGUCUCACCCGUGUAUAUGUGAAUUUAACUUCUAAGUGAAGAGGCUUAGAUGCUGUAAAGGGACGAUAAGACCCUGUCAAACUUUAGUUUAGUGUGAAUGUCUGUAAAAUAUCCCAUUCACUGAGAAUUUUAGUUGGGGCAACUUGGAAGUAUAAAAACUUUCAUAUAUCAGAUGUUUUAGUUUAUGUGCAUAAGACUCAACUGAUGUUAAUUAUAGAAUAAGUUACUGGAGGGGUAACAGCAUUCUCCCCCUGGCGAGUAACUUAUUGAUAGGGGGGUUUGUGACCUCGAUGUUGAAUUGGAACUGUCUCCUAGGUCGGUAGCAGCUUUGGAAGCGGGUCUGUUCGCCCUUUAAAGUUCCCCA
rnacentral:rRNA from 1 species